GAGAAAAACGAAUAAAUUUGAGCAAUAAUUUAAUUGAUGAAGAACAACAUUCAUUGAAAUGAAAACCAUGCUUUGAUCACAACACAUAAAACUACCACGACGAAUGCACUCUGUUUUUUCACUUUACCCAAUUCAUUCUCUCUAGCCUCCGGCACCGGCAAGUCGCCGUCGGCUGACAUUCUAAAACCCUUUGAGUUUUUAGAUCAAACUUUGCUAUAAAUGAUUCGAUAACGAUUGCUUUACCCACAGAUCUAAUUCAGAACCGCAAUCAAUCGGGGGAAGAUAUCUCAAUUGACUAAUGGCUGCACAGAAUCAGAGUCCGAAUAUGGAUCAAUUUGACGCCUAUUUUCGGCGAGCUGAUUUGGAUCAGGAUGGUCGGAUCAGUGGCCCUGAGGCCGUUGCAUUUCUCAAAGGCUCAAAUUUGCCCCAACCAGUCCUCGCUCAGAUUUGGACAUAUGCUGAUCAAAGUCGUACUGGCUACCUUAGUCGCCAAGAAUUUUAUAAUGCUCUCAAGCUUGUUACGGUAGCACAAAAACGAGAGUUGACUCCAGAAAUAGUGAAGGCUGCACUAUUCACCCCAGCUUCAGCCAAAAUUCCUGCUCCCCAAAUAAACCUUGCAGUCAUACCAGGUCCUCAACCAACUAAUAAGGUUGGUUCUACAGUUCCUCCAGUUGGUGGUGCUACUCCAACAGCAACUCAUACUUCCGGCGUUAGAGGUCAACAAGGCUUACCAGCUCAGCAAAGUUAUGUGGGGCCUCCUAGGUCCUCAAAUCCUAGCCCUGGUUUCCAAUCUCAACCAAAUGUUUCCGGACAAGGAAUGCUAGUUGGAAGUACUAUUGCAGCUUCUCGCCCUCCCAGUUCCACUGAUUUGUUUGCUGGUCAGAAUGGUCGCUCACAAGCAGGUGCCAAUUCCCAAGCUCCUAAUUCAAGUGGCAGUUCUAGAAGUCAGGAUGCAUUUGGUCUGGCUGUAUCAACACCUUCUGCACAAAAAACACAACAAGCAACCAUGUCAUCAGUGCAACCAGAUCUAUCAAAAUCAAAUAAUGCAACUUUGUCGCAUGGAAACCUGCUUGAUGCCAAGGUUCCUAAAGCUGUUUCAGUCGCAGGAAAUGGAUUUCCAUCCGAUUCACUCUUUGGAGAUGUUUUUUCAGUUGCCUCAGUUCAACCAAAUCAAAGCUCCACACCAACUAUAUCUUCAGCUAGCAGCUUAGCAGUAUCAGCCACAGACCGAGCAUCUACAGGUGCCCAACCUCCUGUAAAAGCUAACUCAGUUAAUUUGCAGACUACACUUCCUCAGCAGCCGGUACACCAGCAUCAGCAAGCUCAUUUGACUGUGAGGCCGAACCAACAGGUCCCAGUGCAGAGUUCUGCUGGAAAUCCUAGUGCAGGUAGAAAUUCUCUUCCUGGUCAACCUCAGCUUCCGUGGCCAAGGAUUACGCAGUCUGAUUAUCAGAAGUAUAGCAAAGUAUUUAUGGCAGUGGACACAGAUAGGGAUGGAAAAAUUACUGGCGCAGAGGCACGGAGCUUGUUUCUAAGUUGGAAGCUGCCUCGAGAGGUCUUAAAACAGGUGUGGGAUUUAUCAGAUCAAGAUAAUGACAGCAUGCUUUCUUUGAGGGAAUUCUGCAUUGCACUCUACCUGAUGGAGCGACACAGGGAAGGUCGCUCUCUCCCUUCAGUCCUUCCAGCUAAUCUUAUCUUUGACGAGUCACCGUUGCCUGCUUCUGGCCAGCCUACAGGAUCUCAUGGUGCGACAGCUUGGAGAGAGACACCGGGUUUCCAGCAAACACAGGGGCCAAAUGUUGCACGACAAGCUGCUUUUGGUGCUCCAAGGAGGCCUCCACGUCCAGUACCCAUUCCCCAGCCCGAUGAAGCUGUGCAGCCUAGUAAAGAGAAACCUAAAGUUCCAGUAUUGGAGAAGCAUCUGAUUGACCAACUUAGCACAGAGGAACAGGAUUCAUUGAACAUGAAAUUCCAGGAAGCUACUGAUGCAGAAAAGAAGGUCAUGGAACUGGAGAAGGAAAUUUUAGAGGCCAAAGAAAAGAAUCAGUUCUACCAUGCAAAGAUGCAGGAAGUAAUUCUAUACAAAAGCCGAUGCGAUAAUAGACUAAAUGAGAUAAGUGCAAGAACUUCUGCUGAUAAAAGAGAGGUCGAAUUACUGGCUAAAAAAUAUGAAGAGAAAUACAAGCAGGCUGGAGAUGUUGCUUCUAAAUUGACAAUUGAGGAGGCCACGUUUCGGGAUAUUCAAGAAAAAAAAAUGGAGCUGUAUAGAACAAUUGUCAAAAUGGAUCAAGAUGGUAAAACCGAUGGUAUCCAGGACCGUGCUAAUCAGAUUCAGGGCGACCUCGAGGGGCUAGUGAAAACUUUGAAUGAACGCUGCAAGACUUAUGGGCUACGGGCCAAACCAACUACUCUGCUUGAGCUUCCAUUUGGUUGGCAACCUGGCAUCCAAGAGGGGGCAGCAGACUGGGAUGGAGAGUGGGAUAAAUUUGACGAUGAAGAAUUCACAUUUGUGAAAGAGCUCAAUCUUGACGUACAAAAUGUCAUUGCCCCUCCUAAACCAAAAUCUUCACUGGUUCGGGAGAAAGCAUCUUCGCUGAAUGACCAUGAUACUGGAAAAUCAUCUGAUGAUGCUGGCACUGAUGCAAAGUCAGAGAAGUUGCCAAGCCCUGUAAAAACCAGAGUGAUGAGUGAUGUGGAGACUACCCAUACAGCAAGAAGUUCAAUUAAUAGUCCAACCGGGAGUAAUGCAGUUGAGAGUCCAUCAAAGGAAUUUGAAGAAUCACUGAAUAGGAAGGAUGGUACUUUUGAUGGUUCUCCCCAUGCUGCCCAAAGUGAACACUGGGGAGCUGAAUCGGCGUUCUCUGGGGACAAAAGUUUUGAUGAAUCUGGUUGGGGUACAUUUGAUACAGACCUUGAUGCAGAUGCUGCAUGGAACAUCAAUUCUGCUGCUAAGGAAUCUCGUGAUGAGAAGCACAAGGAAACUGCUCUAUUUGACGAUGACGACUGGGGCCUGAGGCCCAUAAAAACGGGAUCUACAAAUUCCAGCAACUCGCUCCCUAAGCAAGCCCCAUUUUUUGAUUCUGUUCCUAGCACCCCUAGUAAUAAUACUGGGUUUAGUUACUCAGAGAACCAGUUCCCAAAGCAAAGCCCAUUCUUUGAUUCUGUUCCAAGCACACCAAGUAACAUCUCUGGAUUCCCACAGGGGGACAGCUUGUUUUCUAGACCAAGUCCCUUCUUUGAUUCUGUUCCCAGCACACCGGCCUAUAACGCAGGUGGCUCGCCAGUUGCUGACAAUAUGUUCCAGAAAAAGAGUCCAUUUUCCUUUGCGGACUCGGUUCCAGGCACACCUAUGUUUAGCUCUACCAACUCACCUCGAAGAUCUAAUGAAUUCUCUGAAGAUCACUUGAACAGCCUUUCCAGAUAUGAUUCAUUCAACAUGCAAGAUGGCGGCCUCUUCGGUAGUCGUGAAUUUUCAAGAUUUGAUUCCAUGCGCAGCACCAGAGACUCUGAGUAUGAUAAUGGUUCAUCCCAGCAACGUGACUCCUUUGCUCGGUUUGAUUCAUUCCGCAGCACAGCAGACUCUGAUUAUAAUUUUGGAGCCUUUCCAGCUCGCGAGUCACUAUCAAGGUUUGAUUCCAUCCGUAGCAGCAGGGACUCAAAUUAUGGUCAUGGUUUCCCAUCUUUUGAUGAUGCUGAUCCAUUUGGGUCUCAUGAUCCCUUUAAGACAUCUGCGGAGAAUCAGACACCGAAGAGAGAUUCUGAUAAUUGGAAAGCAUUUUAAGAUGCCAGGGGGUUUAUUUUGACCUUUUCCUUUCUUGCAUUAAUUCAUCGAACGUCCAGGGAUAAUCUAGUCGAGAGUGAUUUCUUCUCACUUGACUGCCAGUGUGCCAGUUAUUAUGAUGAUAGUUGAUUGAGGAAUGUAGUAGGAUCAUAUAAACCACAUGUAUUCAUUUCACAUAAUUUGGCAUUCAAAUGGUUUUUGACUGUUGUAAUAUGAUUAUGUUAGCCGAGGGUCUUUUGAAAAUAACCUUUCUAGCUGGUAAGGUUUUCAUA